CAGCUGACUCUGGUUUUCACUUCUGCUCUUCAAGCCUCAGCUGAAACCAAUGGGCUUUGACAAGGAUGCAUUUCCUCAGAGCUGCUUUGUCUCUCUACAGUUCCUUAGAUGAAGACUGCUCCGACAGCUCCUCUUGCUGUUGAAGUUCUGCUGCUCCCCUAACACAGGCAGAGAGUCUGCUCUGUCAUCUCCUACUGCCUGAGCUCCUGCAGGAAGAAACAAUAGAUGAGAAACUGACAACUGAUAGCAUCCAGCUACUGAAGGAAGAGCAACCUGAGACCACGAAGUAACACAUUAGACUGUAAGAGUACACUCUGUGUGUGAGAGAAAUUGAUGACAACUUCUGUGGUGAAACAAGUGGAGAAGACAGAUGGAUUGCAAGGUGAACCUUCAAGGCAAGCUCCCCAGCAAAACCAGGAGCCUCCAAAAGACUGAGUGAAGUAAAUCAAUAAGAACUCCCACAAGCCCACUCCUUUGUGGAGUGGUGAGUUUCACCCUGUGCAAAGGAGGGCACAGAAAU